GAUGAACGCUGGCGGCGUGCCUAAUACAUGCAAGUCGAGCGAAUGGAUUAAGAGCUUGCUCUUAUGAAGUUAGCGGCGGACGGGUGAGUAACACGUGGGUAACCUGCCCAUAAGACUGGGAUAACUCCGGGAAACCGGGGCUAAUACCGGAUAACAUUUUGAACUGCAUGGUUCAAAAUUGAAAGGCGGCUUCGGCUGUCACUUAUGGAUGGACCCGCGUCGCAUUAGCUAGUUGGUGAGGUAACGGCUCACCAAGGCAACGAUGCGUAGCCGACCUGAGAGGGUGAGCGGCCACACUGGGACGGGGACACGGCCCAGACUCCUACGGGAGGCAGCAGUAGGGAAUCUUCCGCAAUGGACGAAAGUCUGACGGAGCAACGCCGCGUGAGUGAUGAAGGCUGUCGGGUCGUAAAACUCUGUUGUUAGGGAAGAACAAGUGCUAGUUGAAUAAGCUGGCACCUUGACGGUACCUAACCAGAAAGCCACGGCUAACUACGUGCCAGCCGCCGCCGUAA
rnacentral:rRNA from 1 species